rnacentral:tRNA from 1 species
AUUUAUAUAGUUUAAAAAAAAACAUUAUAUUUUCAAUAUAAAGUUAAAAUUAUUUUUAUAAAUU